rnacentral:rRNA from 1 species
GACGAACGCUGGCGGCGUGCCUAACACAUGCAAGUCGAACGGGGUAGAGAGCUUCGGUUUUCUACUUAGUGGCGAACGGGUGAGUAACGCGUGAGGAACCUGCCUUCCAGUGGGGGACAACAGUUGGAAACGACUGCUAAUACCGCAUAAUGUAGCGAGAUCGCAUGGUCUUGCUACCAAAGCUUUAUGUGCUGGAAGAUGGCCUCGCGUCUGAUUAGCUCGUUGGUGGGGUAACGGCCCACCAAGGCGACGAUCAGUAGCCGGUCUGAGAGGAUGAACGGCCACAUUGGGACUGAGAGACGGCCCAGACUCCUACGGGAGGCAGCAGUGGGGAAUAUUGGGCAAUGGGGGAAACCCUGACCCAGCAACGCCGCGUGAAGGAAGAAGGCCCUCGGGUUGUAAACUUCUUUUAGCAGGGACGAAGGACGUGACGGUACCUGCAGAAAAAGCAACGGCUAACUACGUGCCAGCAGCCGCAGUAAAAC